AGUGGUUGAUCUAGGACCUAUAAUGGGGCUACAUGUACGUAUAUAUGAUAACCAGUCCAAACGUUGUCUAUAAGGGAGCAACCAUUUAACUUUAAAAGUGGAGUGUUGUUGUUUUGUCGAAGCGCUAACAAUUUUAUUAAAUAUAUCGCUGAUAUAAACUUUAAUUUUCAAAAUGCCGACACCUACACAUAGAUAGAUGGGCGCUUAAUGUAGUACAGCGGCAACUAUUACAUACAUAUGAAUGCUGAAAAUAAGGUUU
rnacentral:lncRNA from 1 species